GAACGGGUGAGUAACACGUGGGUGAUCUGCCCUGCACUUUGGGAUAAGCCUGGGAAACUGGGUCUAAUACCGAAUAUGAUCAUUGGCUUCAUGGCUGGUGGUGGAAAGCUUUUGCGGUGUGGGAUGGGCCCGCGGCCUAUCAGCUUGUUGGUGGGGUAAUGGCCUACCAAGGCGACGACGGGUAGCCGGCCUGAGAGGGUGACCGGCCACACUGGGACUGAGAUACGGCCCAGACUCCUACGGGAGGCAGCAGUGGGGAAUAUUGCACAAUGGGCGCAAGCCUGAUGCAGCGACGCCGCGUGAGGGAUGACGGCCUUCGGGUUGUAAACCUCUUUCAAUAGGGACGAAGCGCAAGUGACGGUACCUAUAGAAGAAGGACCGGCCAACUACGUGCCAGCAGCCGCGGUAAUACGUAGGGUCCGAGCGUUGUCCGGAAUUACUGGGCGUAAAGAGCUCGUAGGUGGUUUGUCGCGUUGUUCGUGAAAACUCACAGCUUAACUGUGGGCGUGCGGGCGAUACGGGCAGACUAGAGUACUGCAGGGGAGACUGGAAUUCCUGGUGUAGCGGUGGAAUGCGCAGAUAUCAGGAGGAACACCGGUGGCGAAGGCGGGUCUCUGGGCAGUAACUGACGCUGAGGAGCG
rnacentral:rRNA from 1 species